CGCAUCUGUGCAUGCAGCAUAUCAAUAAGCGGAGGAAAAGAAACUAACAAGGAUUCCCUUAGUAACGGCGAGUGAAGCGGGAAGAGCUCAAAUUUGAAAUCUUCAAGGUUUUACCUUGACGAAUUGUAGUUUAAAGAAGUGUUUUCUGCUGAAGUUUUGGUAAAAGUUCUUUGGAAUAGGACAUCAUAGAGGGUGAGAAUCCCGUAUUUGACCAUUAUUUUCAGCUUUGUGAUACACUUUCAAAGAGUCGGAUUGUUUGGGAAUGCAGUCCAAAAUGGGUGGUAAAUUUCAUCUAGAGCUAAAUAUUGGCGAGAGACCGAUAGCGAACAAGUACCGUGAGGGAAAGAUGAAAAGAACUUUGAAAAGAGAGUUAAACAGUACGUGAAAUUGUCAAAAGGGAAGCGUUUGACACCAGUGUUGUUUUUCUGAAAAUCAAUUAAAGAACUGUUUAUGCUAAGCUGUUUAGACUUUAUCAGCUAACUGUUUAGUUUUGAGCUUUUCUUUAAUGCACUUUUCAGUUAACAAGUCAACAUCAAUUUCUUUUGCUGUAAAAAAGCUUGAGGAAGGUGGCUUGAGAUUCGUCUUAAGUGUUUAUAGCCCUAUACUUCUACAAUCGGAGAGAUUGAGGUCUGCAGCGUAGAUCCUUCGGGGUUAGAUACAUUUGUGCUAAGUUGUAGCUUUUCAUAGACAACUUGUUGACUAUGUUUAGUCAUGCGGCUUACUCGCUUAUGCUAUUUUACCUACGCUUAGGAUGUUGAAGAUAUGCGCGACACG
rnacentral:rRNA from 1 species